GUAAAUAAUGACAGAAUAAUGGGAAUAUUUUAAGGUGUCAAGAUCUCAGAGGGGCUAUUAGAUCGACUAUAAAAUUCAAAAUGCACGACUGAAGUUUAUCUUAUGGAGUUGUACAUGUAUGGGAUUUUUUCUUUUGGAUUUGGUUGGCAAGGGGUUGGAAGCAUAUCUGUAUAAGCUCCUGGACUAGAUGUAAUGCUUCCAAUAAAUGGUGGGCAAAACUAAUUAAUAUAUGUCGGUACAUUCAUAUCCUGCUAUUUUCCUUGGUUCCAUCCGGAAGAUUACAGCUAAGAACUCCUUCUUCUUGACUUGGUUAAAGAUGCCCAAGAUAUGGCUAUGAUGUUCAUUCUUUUAAUUAGUCCAGUGGUAGGUGGCUUCUUCAGGAUGCUUCACUCAAAGAGCAAUUUUUAAUUAAAUCAAUAAUUGAUACAUGAGUGUAUUGGAAAUAAAAAUAUUUAAUUUUGUGCAUCCGUGUAUGGCUGGUUAUGCUGUGCUUGUUUAAUGUUCACUAAAUUAUUGACUUCAUAGUUGUUUUCCUAUACAUUUUUUACUAGCAAACUUUUAUAAGGUACAAUCCAUGAGUUUCACAUUCUUUCCGAGAUAUCUUAUUUUUAAGUACGCAUGGGAAGGGAUGCAUGAGAAUGCAUAUUGAGCCACAAGGAGAGAAUAUAUUCAGGAGAGAGCUCCUCAAUCCAAUCAGGCACCUAAAUGCUCCUUCUAAUCCAUCAUUAAAACUCUCAAGGUGACCAUCGAAGGAUUCCAGCCUAGUUUCAAAGUUAAUGCUAUCUGCUCGACUUUCACAUUCUUUUCUUCCCUUAUGCACCAAUCUCAAAACCAGUGCCAUUUAGACGAGUUUGACUUUAAAACUUGGACAGAUAAGAAAUAGCAAGAGCAUUUGCAAAAUUGAAAUGCAUACUAAGUUGGCUUCCCUUAGUACUCUAAUCAUAUAUGUAGUGUCAAUAUCUGAAUCUUGGAAUUCUGAUUCCUCAAUAUAUUCAUCCAUUUUUAAGAGUUAAGACCAGGAAUAACUUUUGGCCCCUCAAUCUUCUUGCUGAAGGAGGUGAUCUGGUAAAGCUGGUUUCUGUACUUAAGUGAUCUUGUUUUCUCCUUCUGAUAGAGGAUUGAAAAUCUCUGACAAAGUCAGGGGCACACUUAGUUGGCUAAGCAAGUCUAGUGGGCCUGUCCAUGGCACUACACAUUUAGAAGCUACUCAGGGACGCCGUGCCCAUGACAUUAUAUAUGUGAAAAAUGUCUAGCCAACUUCAGAUCAGUGCAAUAGAAGUUUCCCGAUUAGCAUGAGAAGAUCUUUAGGAGAGAACUCUGCAAUGUAAUCAGGCACCUAUGUUCCUUCCAAACUAUAUUCGAAGUUGUCAGCUGAGCCUCAAAAGAGUUCUAUCCACACUUCAAAUCUAUUUUUGGGGAGCGUACAUAUUGUUGUUUUCAGGGACUGCUAGAGGAUCUUUCGGGAGCAAUGCAAUUAAGCUUGCUGAGCAAUGCCACUUUAGUCGUUCAUACUAAACUGAUAUUGAGUCGAACAAAGUGGCAUUGUUAAUUGCUCCAUUUAUAUGUUCGAAAGAAUGGUAGGUUGGCUGCUUUGCCCGCUGAUCUGGUGCCAGAUCCUUGUGCUAGAUCUUCAUUUUGUUUUCAUUGUUGAAUUUGGCUAAGGAUCUAGAAGAAAAAGGACAUAGGAUAAGCCUUCUGAUUAGAUCUACUGCUUCCAAUUAUCUCAGAAGGAAGACUGAUGAAAUCAAGAUUGUCAUAGUUACAGUCGUCUCCAUAUCUAGUUGGACUAUGAAGUAAGAUAAGCAGAUCAUAAGCUAUAUUUCUUAUUUAUCAGUGACGCUAAAAAUAUGGUGGAUAAGGAGCAUAAGGAAGUAACUUUUCGUCCAGAUUAUUGCCCUUCAUUAGUUUGAUCUUUGAAGCCAAUUAUGCAGAGAAAGUAUGUAAUGAAUAUGCUAUGCGUUUUAUCUGUUUCCCCAUCUAGUCUAAAGAGGACCAUUUCAAUGGAUAUCGAGAUAUUUGAGACACAAACCUAAACCUGAUAUCAGGUAUGGAGAAAUACUGCUAAGUGCUUUCUUUGCGCUGAAACUCACAGGCAUAACCUUUUAAAUUUUGAUCAGAGAGAGAUAGAGAUAGAGGCAAUAAAUGAUGUAUAAUCUUUCACUUGAAAUUUAUAUAUUUCUAACUACAAAACUGUUUAUAUACAAUUUACAGAGUAUGGAACAACAACUGCCAGAUUAACAAGAAAGAACAUUGAGGAGCGAGCUUCUAGAUCUAAUCAAGCACCUAAAUGUGCUAUUCUGUCUUCUUGUACCAAUCUUGAAAGCAAUGACCAUGUUGAUUGUUUUGGCUUCAAAAGGGGCACACACAGGAAGGACAAUAGCAUUUGGAAAGUUGAAAUGCACACUGCAUUAGCUUCUCUUAGUGCUCUAAUCGCAGCUAUUGUAUCUUGAUCUGCAUCAAACAAGACUGAUACUGCAGUCUCUUGAUCCAUUUGCUUCAAAUUCAAGGCUAAUCUUUUGGCAUCCCUCUUGAUCUUCUUGCUGAAAGAGGUAAAUCUGGCAACGCUGUCAUCUGUAGUUGAAUCUCCUUUUCUCCUUCUGAGAGAUGAUUGAAGAUGUCUUGCAUUUUAUUUAUAUUGUGAGACAAGUUCCUUUAUAGUGCCACAAACAUCAAGAAGCCUCACGGUUUUGUCUAAUAAAUCCUCAAUGCAUUUAGCAUCUAGACUUUGGCAAAGGGUUUGUGGCAAGUUGAAAAGAUCAUCUAUGCACUUGUAUAAUUUCUCCAAUCCGAAUAGACCACUGUACACAGUGUCUGCUGUUGGUGCAACUGAUAAUGAUUUGAGCUUGUUUAUCUCCUCUUCAACUCUCUGGGUAAUAGGGUGUGAUCUCCCAGGCAAACUGAUUGAUCGAACAUGAUUGGGUUUUGAAGAUAGAGCGGCCAUUUUUUAUGGUUUUCUUUCUGAUGAGGGAAUUUCUCAAAGUUGUGAUGGAAUUGAAGCUUGAGAGUUGGUAUUUAUAGGCAGUACACCAUAGGAGGAGACCAGAUAAGCAAUGGCCUAAUUAAAUCAGCAUGUGAUUGCUCUGCUGGAUCUUUUUGGAACUUGUAAAACUGCUACACAUUUGGCCAACUAAAGGUUCUGCUGAUUACUUUCAUUAGUUCUCUUAGUUAUGGGAUAAAUAUGAGGCAUCUCAUUAUCAUGUGGGUCUUUGAAUAAUUUGCCUUUUUCUGUCUCCAUAUAUGGUGCCAAUACUAUAACACAAUUAAUUUAUUCUUACUAUUUAAUUGAAGAUGCAUCAACUUCAAGAAGCCUACUUAAUUUGUUCAGUUGUUUAGUUAGUUUUUGUCUUGUAAAACAGGUGGCCUGGUAAAGUUGUCUCCUCCAUAAUAGCUUCAAUAUGUCAACUACUAGAACACACAAUAUUUAGAUAAUUGAGAUAUAAAUGGUUAAAGAGUAGUGAGAGUAUUUUAAGGUGUCAAGACUUUUAAAAAGGGCUAGUAGAUCAAAUAUAAAAUUCAUAUUGCACGACUGAAGUUUAUUUUAUGUAAUUGUACACAUAUGGAAGUUUUUCUUUUGGAUUUGGUUGGCAAGGGGUUGGAAGCAUAUCUUUUGGUUAGGUGUAAUGCUUCUUAUAAUUUUGAGAACAAAGUGAUUUCCACAAGUAGUUGGAUAAAUGAACCAAAGAAGAGCAGACUGUGAGUUGUAUUAUCUAAUCGAUUAGAACGUGUUAAGAUAAGGACAGGAGGCGGACCCAGGAUUUGAAGCUUGUGGGUGCAAUGUUGGAUUCAACCAAAAAAUGUUUUGCAUAUAGGGUAACCACUACUAAUAUAUCACUAUUUUCUAAAGAUAUAUACAUGCAUACAUGGAGUUUUUGCCGAAUUUUACGGGUGCUGGUGACCCCUAUUUGUAUAGCAUAGGUCCGCCGCUGCUUCUAGGUAAUUAACUCCUUCAUUGAUGCCUGAUAGCACAGAAAGGAAUUCUGUUUUGUGAGCCAGCUGUGGAGGUAUAAGUUGGAAAGAAAUCUGCUCUUGAAAGAAGUUCAUCACCUUGUGCAUGAUACUUUCACUAGUUAAGCUGCAUUACAACUUUAUUUAUUUUUAUAAGGAAGCAUUACAGGUGUUACUGUAUUUUCAUGCAAUGUUAAGGAAACAACAGUGGAACAAAUUGUGUCCCUGAAUCAUAUCAGUGCACACCUGUAAUAUCAUAAAGCUUUCAGUUCUUAACAUUUCUUGGCCUAGAUUAUUACUCAUUAAACAUUUCAAAAAGAGACUAUUAAGAAGAAUUCUAGGAGCAGAAUUCAUUCCCCAAAGCAAAUUGAAUGUCAAAUAUUUCUAGUUGAUUCUUUUUCUUCUUUUUUUUCUAGUUGAUUCUUCAAAUUUAUAUUAUGCCUUUAUUGAGUUUCAUGCCUAACAGAUUUUUAACAAGUCAAAUGCAGCUUGUGAAGAAAACAGAGACAAAUACACUCAGCAUUUUGUAGCAGUUCUCUAUCAAAGAUAGAUGGAUAGAGUUCCAAUUUGGUGACAAGAAAUUCAUAUUACAUAUCUUGUUUGUUUAAACUUAAAAUGUUCAUGCACAUCUAAGAUUCAUUUUGAUAAGCAGAAGGUUUCUGCCAACUUCAAGGUGCUACAGUUACUAGGACUAGUUUUGAUCUAGAGGGAAAACCGAACUCCUUUUUGGAGGUAAAACUGAACUGAUUUGAGCGAAUGUGGUUAGAUUUUGAAAAAGUGACCAUGGUUUUUGGUGUUUUUCUUGGUUGGGAGAAAUA